rnacentral:rRNA from 1 species
GGGUUGUGAGGUUAAGCGACUAAGCGUACACGGUGGAUGCCCUGGCAGUCAGAGGCGAUGAAGGGCGUGCUAAUCUGCGAUAAGCGCCGGUAAGGUGAUAUGAACCGUUAUAACCGGCGAUACCCGAAUGGGGAAACCCAGUGUGAUUCGUCACACUAUCAUUAACUGAAUCCAUAGGUUAACGAAGCGAACCGGGGGAACUGAAACAUCUAAGUACCCCGAGGAAAAGAAAUCAACCGAGAUUCCCCCAGUAGCGGCGAGCGAACGGGGAGGAGCCCAGAGCCUGAAUCAGCAUGUGUGUUAGUGGAAGCGUCUGGAAAGGCGCGCGAUACAGGGUGACAGCCCCGUACACAAAAGCGCAUGUGCUGUGAGCUCGAUGAGUAGGGCGGGACACGUGGUAUCCUGUCUGAAUAUGGGGGGACCAUCCUCCAAGGCUAAAUACUCCUGACUGACCGAUAGUGAACCAGUACCGUGAGGGAAAGGCGAAAAGAACCCCGGCGAGGGGAGUGAAAAAGAACCUGAAACCGUGUACGUACAAGCAGUGGGAGCCCCACCACCAAAGCAUUCUCUGGUGUUGAAGGCCCUGCAAAGCAGCAUCGCGGUGGCGGAGCGUCGUUUGCGACGCCCAACACACAAAACAAGCGGUGAGUGCUUUGGGGUGGGGUGACUGCGUACCUUUUGUAUAAUGGGUCAGCGACUUAUAUUCUGUAGCAAGGUUAACCGUAUAGGGGAGCCGAAGGGAAACCGAGUCUUAACUGGGCGUUAAGUUGCAGGGUAUAGACCCGAAACCCGGUGAUCUAGCCAUGGGCAGGUUGAAGGUUGGGUAACACUAACUGGAGGACCGAACCGACUAAUGUUGAAAAAUUAGCGGAUGACUUGUGGCUGGGGGUGAAAGGCCAAUCAAACCGGGAGAUAGCUGGUUCUCCCCGAAAGCUAUUUAGGUAGCGCCUCGUGAACUCAUCUUCGGGGGUAGAGCACUGUUUCGGCUAGGGGGUCAUCCCGACUUACCAACCCGAUGCAAACUGCGAAUACCGAAGAAUGUUAUCACGGGAGACACACGGCGGGUGCUAACGUCCGUCGUGAAGAGGGAAACAACCCAGACCGCCAGCUAAGGUCCCAAAGUCACAGUUAAGUGGGAAACGAUGUGGGAAGGCUCAGACAGCCAGGAUGUUGGCUUAGAAGCAGCCAUCAUUUAAAGAAAGCGUAAUAGCUCACUGGUCGAGUCGGCCUGCGCGGAAGAUGUAACGGGGCUAAACUGUGCACCGAAGCUGCGGCAGCGA